rnacentral:lncRNA from 1 species
CUAACCGUCCAUCCCAUAAUCACAAAGUGUCGGAAUAAACGGGAUCUACGUGUUUAACUGUUACAGAUGGUUACCAACAGUUUGUCUAUAAAAAGGAGAUAAAGGAAUAGUGAUGGUAAGACAGGCUGGACUAAACUCUGUCAAUUUCUAUAUUAAAAUUACUGUUCACCAUUUUUCGCUGACUUAGAUAUCGUAAGGUUCUCGCUGGACAUAACUCCGAUCAAUGUGGACUUCUUUUGCAGAUUGCUCUUUAUCGGAGUUAGAUGCAAUCGAAGAUUGGCCGCAAC